UACGUAGGAUCCGAAGCGUUGUCCGGAUUUACUGGGUGUAAAGGGUGCGACAGGCGGACUUAUAAGUCAGGGGUGAAAUCUUACUGGCUCAAGCCACGUGAAACUGCCUUUGAUACUGUAGGUCUUGAAUUAGGGAGAGAGUGGUGGAAUUCCGAGUGUAGCAGUGAAAUGUGUAGAAUAUUCGGAAGAACACCAGCGGCGAAGGCAGCGACUUGGCCCUAUAUUCG
rnacentral:rRNA from 1 species